ACUAAGCGUACACGGUGGAUGCCCUGGCAGUCAGAGGCGAUGAAGGACGUGCUAAUCUGCGAUAAGCGUCGGUAAGGUGAUAUGAACCGUUAUAACCGGCGAUUUCCGAAUGGGGAAACCCAGUGUGAUUCGUCACACUAUCAUUAACUGAAUCCAUAGGUUAAUGAGGCGAACCGGGGGAACUGAAACAUCUAAGUACCCCGAGGAAAAGAAAUCAACCGAGAUUCCCCCAGUAGCGGCGAGCGAACGGGGAGCAGCCCAGAGCCUGAAUCAGUGUGUGUGUUAGUGGAAGCGUCUGGAAAGGCGUGCGAUACAGGGUGACAGCCCCGUACACAAAAAUGCACAUAUUGUGAGCUCGAUGAGUAGGGCGGGACACGUGGUAUCCUGUCUGAAUAUGGGGGACCAUCCUCCAAGGCUAAAUACUCCUGACUGACCGAUAGUGAACCAGUACCGUGAGGGAAAGGCGAAAAGAACCCCGGCGAGGGGAGUGAAAAAGAACCUGAAACCGUGUACGUACAAGCAGUGGGAGCACGCUUAGGCGUGUGACUGCGUACCUUUUGUAUAAUGGGUCAGCGACUUAUAUUCUGUAGCAAGGUUAACCGAAUAGGGGAGCCGAAGGGAAACCGAGUCUUAACUGGGCGUUAAGUUGCAGGGUAUAGACCCGAAACCCGGUGAUCUAGCCAUGGGCAGGUUGAAGGUUGGGUAACACUAACUGGAGGACCGAACCGACUAAUGUUGAAAAAUUAGCGGAUGACUUGUGGCUGGGGGUGAAAGGCCAAUCAAACCGGGAGAUAGCUGGUUCUCCCCGAAAGCUAUUUAGGUAGCGCCUCGUGAAUUCAUCUCCGGGGGUAGAGCACUGUUUCGGCAAGGGGGUCAUCCCGACUUACCAACCCGAUGCAAACUGCGAAUACCGGAGAAUGUUAUCACGGGAGACACACGGCGGGUGCUAACGUCCGUCGUGAAGAGGGAAACAACCCAGACCGCCAGCUAAGGUCCCAAAGUCAUGGUUAAGUGGGAAACGAUGUGGGAAGGCCCAGACAGCCAGGAUGUUGGCUUAGAAGCAGCCAUCAUUUAAAGAAAGCGUAAUAGCUCACUGGUCGAGUCGGCCUGCGCGGAAGAUGUAACGGGGCUAAACCAUGCACCGAAGCUGCGGCAGCGACGCUGAUGCGUUGUUGGGUAGGGGAGCGUUCUGUAAGCCUGCGAAGGUGUGCUGUGAGGCAUGCUGGAGGUAUCAGAAGUGCGAAUGCUGACAUAAGUAACGAUAAAGCGGGUGAAAAGCCCGCUCGCCGGAAGACCAAGGGUUCCUGUCCAACGUUAAUCGGGGCAGGGUGAGUCGACCCCUAAGGCGAGGCCGAAAGGCGUAGUCGAUGGGAAACAGGUUAAUAUUCCUGUACUUGGUGUUACUGCGAAGGGGGGACGGAGAAGGCUAUGUUGGCCGGGCGACGGUUGUCCCGGUUUAAGCGUGUAGGCUGGUUUUCCAGGCAAAUCCGGAAAAUCAAGGCUGAGGCGUGAUGACGAGGCACUACGGUGCUGAAGCAACAAAUGCCCUGCUUCCAGGAAAAGCCUCUAAGCAUCAGGUAACAUCAAAUCGUACCCCAAACCGACACAGGUGGUCAGGUAGAGAAUACCAAGGCGCUUGAGAGAACUCGGGUGAAGGAACUAGGCAAAAUGGUGCCGUAACUUCGGGAGAAGGCACGCUGAUAUGUAGGUGAAGCGACUUGCUCGUGGAGCUGAAAUCAGUCGAAGAUACCAGCUGGCUGCAACUGUUUAUUAAAAACACAGCACUGUGCAAACACGAAAGUGGACGUAUACGGUGUGACGCCUGCCCGGUGCCGGAAGGUUAAUUGAUGGGGUCAGCGCAAGCGAAGCUCUUGAUCGAAGCCCCGGUAAACGGCGGCCGUAACUAUAACGGUCCUAAGGUAGCGAAAUUCCUUGUCGGGUAAGUUCCGACCUGCACGAAUGGCGUAAUGAUGGCCAGGCUGUCUCCACCCGAGACUCAGUGAAAUUGAACUCGCUGUGAAGAUGCAGUGUACCCGCGGCAAGACGGAAAGACCCCGUGAACCUUUACUAUAGCUUGACACUGAACAUUGAGCCUUGAUGUGUAGGAUAGGUGGGAGGCUUUGAAGUGUGGACGCCAGUCUGCAUGGAGCCGACCUUGAAAUACCACCCUUUAAUGUUUGAUGUUCUAACGUUGACCCGUAAUCCGGGUUGCGGACAGUGUCUGGUGGGUAGUUUGACUGGGGCGGUCUCCUCCUAAAGAGUAACGGAGGAGCACGAAGGUUGGCUAAUCCUGGUCGGACAUCAGGAGGUUAGUGCAAUGGCAUAAGCCAGCUUGACUGCGAGCGUGACGGCGCGAGCAGGUGCGAAAGCAGGUCAUAGUGAUCCGGUGGUUCUGAAUGGAAGGGCCAUCGCUCAACGGAUAAAAGGUACUCCGGGGAUAACAGGCUGAUACCGCCCAAGAGUUCAUAUCGACGGCGGUGUUUGGCACCUCGAUGUCGGCUCAUCACAUCCUGGGGCUGAAGUAGGUCCCAAGGGUAUGGCUGUUCGCCAUUUAAAGUGGUACGCGAGCUGGGUUUAGAACGUCGUGAGACAGUUCGGUCCCUAUCUGCCGUGGGCGCUGGAGAAUUGAGGGGGGCUGCUCCUAGUACGAGAGGACCGGAGUGGACGCAUCACUGGUGUUCGGGUUGUCAUGCCAAUGGCACUGCCCGGUAGCUAAAUGCGGAAGAGAUAAGUGCUGAAAGCAUCUAAGCACGAAACUUGCCCCGAGAUGAGUUCUCCCUGACUCCUUGAGAGUCCUGAAGGAACGUUGAAGACGACGACGUUGAUAGGCCGGGUGUGUAAGCGCAGCGAUGCGUUGAGCUAACCGGUACUAAUGAACCGUGAGGCUUAACC
rnacentral:rRNA from 1 species